rnacentral:rRNA from 3 species
GGACUACUGGGGUAUCUAAUCCCGUUCGCUCCCCUAGCUUUCGCGCCUCAGCGUCAGAAAAGGUCCAGCACGUCGCUUUCGCCACCGGCGUUCCUUCCGAUAUCAACACAUUUCACCGCUCCACCGGAAGUUCCACAUGCCCCUACCUCGCUCUAGCCUGCCAGUAUCAGAGGCACUUUUCCGGUUAAGCCGAAAGAUUUCACCCCUGACUUGGCAAGCCGCCUACGCGCCCUUUAAGCCCAGUGAUUCCGAACAACGUUCGCACGGUUCGUCUUACCGCGGCGGCUGGCAC